CUUCCACACAUCAAUAGGAAUCCCUGGGUAAGCCUAAUUUGGUACCCCUCAUUUUUAAGUGCACUUUUUAAAGUACAGUAUUAUGAGAAAUGGCAAAUAACUAGGUCAAUUUUUCCAACUGUAGGGACCAAGGGGAGACCUUUUAACCACCCAACAGGUUCACUUUGCCCAGUGCCUAUUCAAAUUGGUCUCCCCAAGCACUAGGGAAUCAGAGUUUUUAAGGAUAAUUUGGCGGGUAGGGGCUCAGGAUGUGGGGCAUGCCAACUGGUCAGGCUAGCUAGUAAAGGUGGUGGUGUUAUAUAGAUGAAGCUUUGCUUCACAGGCAGCAGCCCUUGGAGAGAAUAGAUGGUAAGAGUCUUUUUCAGACUUUUGGCAAAGAUGCCUUAUGGUGAGGAAUAGAAUGAAGGCAAGAACAGCAAGCAUAGGUGAGACUAUAAAGAGGAUAUCCAUAAAAUGUUAGUGACACUUAUGUUUGUUGCUUGAGGGUUUUGAGGAGGGUAAAGGAGGAGAUGGGCUUAAUUCUUUAUUCCCCUACUGCCCUGGUCCCCUCUAACAAGACUAGACCUAGGUACUUCACUGAAGUCUGAGAGAGCUGAGCCUUAAGAUUUUGAGACCUUAUAUCCUCUGUUAGCCAGAAAAUUAAGAAGAGCCUUAUUGUCCUCCUCAGAGAUUUCCUCAGCUGGGGCACAAAGGAAAAUGUGAUCUACAUAUUGUAAAACUUUAACCUGAGAAUAAAAGAACUCAGAGAUCCUUUGACAACUCCUGCUCAAACAAGUG
rnacentral:lncRNA from 1 species